GACGAACGCUGGCGGCGUGCUUAAUACAUGCAAGUCGAACGGUGAAACGCCUUCCUUUUCGGUGGGAGGGUAGGAGUGGCGAAGUGGUGAGUAACACGAGAGUAACCUGACCACUCCUUCUGGAUAACCGCAAGAAAGUGCGGCUAAUACGGGAUAUUCUGAGUCGGUCGCAUGAUGGGUCUGGGAAAGAUUUGGUGUCGGUGGGGGAUGGGCCCGCGGCCUAUCAGCUUGUUGGUGUGGUGACGGCCUACCAAGGCGGUGACGAGUAGCCGGCCUGAGAGGGUGGGCCGCCCUACAGGGACGGAGACGCGGACACGACUACUAGGGGCAGCAGCAGUGGAGAUUACGGCACGGUGGGAGGACGGAUGGUGCAGCGCCGCCGCGUGAAUGAUGGUGUCCUGCGGGUUGUGAACUGCUUUCGGGAGAGAAGCAGGGUGGACGCGUUUGUGCGUGGGUUGACGGUAGCUGGUCAGGAAGCGACGGCUAACUACGUG
rnacentral:rRNA from 1 species